rnacentral:rRNA from 1 species
UACGUAGGAGGCAAGCGUUGCUCGGAAUCACUGGGCGUAAAGGGUGCGUAGGCGGGUCUUUUAAGUCAGAGGUGAAAUCCUGGAGCUCAACUCCAGAACUGCCUUUGAUACUGAGGAUCUUGAGUUCGGGAGAGGUGAGUGGAACUGCGAGUGUAGCGGUGAAAUGCUUAGAUAUCGUCCAGAACACCGAUAGCGAAGGCAGCUUACUAAGGAGUAACUGACGCUGAGGCACGAAAGUGUGGGGAUCAAACAGG